rnacentral:rRNA from 1 species
GACGUAGGGCGCGAGCGUUGUCCGGAUUUAUUGGGCGUAAAGAGCUCGUAGGCGGCUUGUCGCGUCGACUGUGAAAACCUGCGGCUCAACCGUGUGGUCUGCAGUCGAUACGGGCAGGCUAGAGUUCGGUAGGGGAGACUGGAAUUCCUGGUGUAGGGGUGAAAUGCGCAGAUAUCAGGAGGAACACCGGUGGCGAAGGCGGGUCUCUGGGCCGAUACUGACGCUGAGGAGCGAAAGCGUGGGGAGCGAACAGG